UAUGACAAAUACUUUUUAUUUGGAUUCUUAGGUGAAAAUUUGCCAUUUCGUGGAAAUGCCUAAUAAUGAGUAAUUGGUUCGAGUGUUAGUGAGUUAUGGGUUCGAGUUUUACGAAGCGUAGGUGUGCUAGUGUCAUAUGAAAAGGAAGUAACUAUGGUAGAGAGUGAGUAAAAGCACAGCAGAAAGUGAAGAACUUAAAAAAGAAAGCUAUAGAGUGCUAGAAGAGAGUGCGAGUAGCUGUAGUUGACGAAAUAUCAAGAGAUAAUGAGUAACAGACCCGAGUAUAUAAUUUCCGAGAGCAAAAAAAAUUCUUUCUGAGAUGAAACUCUUUGAAAACUUUGAAGACGGUAAGAAGAGAAGGCGAAUGAAUUUUCAAGCGUUGUAAAUGGCUUGCGUGGAUUUAAAAAAUCAGUUGAGAGUGAAUGCAAUGCUUCUGUAUUUCUCCCACUACAAUAGGGUCUAAUAGAAACGAAGCCGGAUUUUUAUACGAACAAGAACUGUCAACUCGGCAGCAUGCCUCGAAUUAUUCAGGCAACGUUCCCACGACAGUCGGCUCUACGUAAUCGGCAGGGACCCGGGUUUUUACCAUUUUUAUCCAGCCAACGAUUGUCAUAACAGCAGCAUGCCCAAAUCAGUUCAGUGAUGUUUUUGCUGCUACAAACACAACAAUUUUUUUCUCUAAAGCAAACCGAAAUAGUUACCAAAAGUUAUAUUCUUAGCCUGCUAUUUCUUACUUUUCAAACAUUAUUAACAUAUAAUUAUAAAUUCUCAACAAAAAUAAAAAUAUAUACAA